CUGCCUGUAUAAUUGCAACUUACGGGGAAUUUUUAAGUCAGCAUAGCAGAUCAAGGAAGCAGCAGUCUGAACAUUUGGGAUGUUAUCCUGAACGCAGGCUGCCAAGUACUGUAGGCUUCAGGAGAGAGUGAUGGUCAACAGCAUCUCUGCAAGUGUUUGCCUACCAUGCAGGCCUAGACUUCUGUGUGAAGACAGAGAAAUGUGCAGAGAAAAGACCAGUAACCAAGUGGCUUGCUUUUGUGACUGUGAGAGAUAGACACAAACCAGUGACUUAGAAACUGCUGCUACUAACAGGUAAAGAAAAUAUUCCAAGUAUUUCCAAGUCUUCUACUAUCUGUGCUACGAAAGUCAGCCUGCAGUUGGCUGAAGCUCGUUUUCUGUUUGCUUCCCUGAA